rnacentral:rRNA from 1 species
CCCUUAGAUGCUCUGGGCCGCACGCGCGCUACACUGAUGCAUUCAACGAGCUUAUAACCUUGGCCGAGAGGCCUGGGCAAUCUUGUUAACGUGCAUCGUGAUAGGGAUAGAUUAUUGAAAUUAUUAAUCUUGAACGAGGAAUUCCUAGUAAACGCAGAUCAUCAAUCUGCAUUGAUUACGUCCCUGCCCUUUGUACACACCGCCCGUCGCACCUACCGAUUGGAUGGUCCGGUGAAGCCUCGGGAUUGUGGUUCUUGCCGCUUUAUUGUGGCGUGACCGCGAGAACUUGUCUAAACCUUAUCAUCUAGAGGAAGGUGAGGUCGUAACA